rnacentral:lncRNA from 1 species
CUUGGAACCCAUGAGGCUAGUUUUACCUCUGUGAGUUUCUGAGUUGUAAUAGAGAUACAAUAUUAUGCAAUGAUAUUCUAAAUUAUUAUUUGACUUGAAACUUCUGAACUACUCAGCUUUGAAUUAUUUGAUUUCUGUGAAUCUGAUCUUCAGAUUUAUGGUAUAAGCUUUAUAUCUGCCAUGUAAGCUUCUUUAAAACAUGCCAAGGUAGAGAUGUAGUUGUGUUCUAUUUGUCUUUAAAAAUAAAUAUCAAUAUAUUUUCUAUUUUAGGGCAUUUGAUGUAGAACUACUGUACAUAGCACAGUUCUUUAAAAUUCCAAUAGCAGAAAUUGCUGUCAACUGGACAGAAAUUGAAGGUUCUAAAUUAGUUCCAUUCUGGAGCUGGCUACAAAUGGGUAAAGACCUACUUUUUAUACGACUUCGAUAUUUGACUGGUGCCUGGAGGCUUGAGCAAACUCGGAAAAUGAAUUAGGUUGUUUGCAGUCUUCAGUUGUGUUCUUAUGCUUCAGUGUCACAUUUCAUUUCAUUUGAAACUAAAAUUUUAAGUAAAGCUGAAAUAAACUUC